GCUACACCCAGAAUCCUGCCAUCAUCUUUUCAUUUAUCUAUAUUUUAAUUAUAUAUUAUCUUGAUUGCAUUUUUCUUCUAAUGUUAUUCAUUCUGUUACGCAUAGUAUUCGGCUACGUCUUUACAGUUUGCCUGCAAUGUAAUCUGCAAAGUUGAGCUGGUUGUUCAUCACAAAAGUGAAAGUGAAAGAGUUUCCUGCUAACUGCGUGUUCAUUCUGCGAUGUCUUUAUCUCAUUCCCAGCUACAGCAGCACCAGCAGCAAAGGAAUCCACGAGAUGGGUCUUUCAAACUCAAAACACUCAGCCAAAACCAAAGUCCCCCCAAGGAAAUCCAAUAAAGUUCGUGAUGCUUCGACAAACCAAAAGAAGUUAGAGAUUCAGGAACUUACUACGGGGGAAACCUUUGGGGCAGAUGAAGCUAUCAUGGAAAAAGUGAGGAAAAAGCUCAAGAAGAAGAGGAUUAAAAAGGUUGAACACCACAUCAUCGCUUUCUGUCCCAUCACGUCUCGUGUUGGCUCAGACGUGGAAGCAGCUGUGGAAUAUGUGAAAAGAGAGAAUAAAGAGAAUAAAGGAAUCAUCCUGGUUCUGAUGCACCACACUCGAGAUCCUGACUACUCAACUGCUGGGACAAGUUGGUCUGAAACGAUCCAAAAUGUUGAUUUGGAUGUCAAUGUUCUUUUCCAUGAAACCAAGGAUGGGUUGCUGUCUUGUUCACAAAAUGACAUGGCAGUGAAACAAAUCAGUAAAUUUAUAAAGAAAAGCAACAAAAACAAAAACAAAAAAACAAUACAAAUAAAUAGACUGACAAAACAAAAACAAAAAUACAAAAUAAAUAAAAAUAAGAAGAACAGAAAUAAAUGAGAAUAAUCCUUGUAUCAGUAUUGACUGACUGACUGACUGACUAUUGACAAAAAAGCAUGAACAGUAACUGUAGCUGUCCACAGCAAUGUACGGUCAUAAUCAAUAAAUUAGAAAAUGCGUUUCAAUGAAGCUUGUUUAGAUUAAGAGUGCCCUUUCAAAAUAACAACCAAGCAAGUCAUUAAUUUUUUAACCUAAACUACUUUUCUGUAUAGCCUUUUUUCCCUCUGAUGUAAUAUUUUAAGCUUAAAUGUGUUUUCAUAGGUUGUAAGCAGAAAGUCAUUCUAAUUAACAGAAACAAAGCCUUGGAAAACAUCCGUCCAAUUAAUGUAUAUGAUGUGUUUCACCUAUUGAAUUCCAUUAUUGAAAUAAAUAAACUUGUAAUUCAUUUUUCAAA